rnacentral:lncRNA from 1 species
UUUUGGUGUUUUAGUUUGGAGUUAGCUCGAUUUCGAGACUCGGGCGUUUUUAGUUGAUCCAGCAGAGGGUAUCCUGGUUCGAGGCUUCGUUCGCUGCCAGGGGAUAGCUUUCGAGGUGGGUUACAUCGGCUUUACUCCUAAGUUCUUAUUGGUCGACAUGUAUAGAUCUUGAUUUCGGAAUUAAUGUUAGCUCAAAUUCAUGGAUUAUUGUUAGAAAUGUAAUAUCUGAAUUUUCGAGCAUAUUUUAUCAAGUAAAUAGAUUAUACAUGUUGGACUUGAAAAUUGAAUUAGGAGAAAACCUGCGAUUUGGACCUGUCACCAGUUUUAACUACCUGAUUUAGCUCUAGGAGCCGUUAGAGAAUUGUACUGUCGCAGUUUCUUCGAGACGAGUACUCCAGGUAGUUUAGAAUGUAUUUACUCUCGUGCUGGUUCGCCGAGUGGAUUUUUACAGGGUCGUUCAGGUCGUUCCGGACUGUUGGGUGCCGUCAGAGUUGACGGUGGACCCGUAUCGCCUUUUUGGCGUCAGAUUGUGCCGAGGGCACGUUACCUGUUCGUUGUUGGACCAGUUUGAGUCGAUUACUUGACUUUGGCUAGUUGGAGCCUGAUUGAGCUCGACAGAGAUACGCUGCAUACUCGGUUGGGUAGCGCCCACGAGUGCCACUCCGGAGUCAGGCUUGUGCUUUUGCGUUGGUGUCGCUCAUGCCAGUUGGACUUGCUCUCCACGGACCAGUUAGAGUGGAUAGAGCCCGAUAGUCGCAACGGGGCAGGGACGGGUGUAUUCACAGUCCCGGGGACGGGUAUGCUUACAGUCCCGAUUUGGAUUGGGUCAGACUUGGCUUUUCCUACAGUUGGUUAGUGUAGAGCAUGAUAGUGUAGUGAUUGAUAGCGGUAGAGUGUACUUCCUGCUUUUCCUACUAUCCUUGCUCCCUUCUGUAGACUUAGUGGGUGACCGAUGUUGUUUUGGGCGGUACCCACUGAGGACUACUUGUUUUUACAGUAGUUCUCACGCCCAGUUGUUACCUAUGUUUUUGCAGAGCCACAGGUUCCGGCUGCUGCACCGUCCGUGGAUCAGGAUCGAGGCAAGGGCGUCGCGAGUUAGAGCCCUACCCGACGUGCUGAGCUAGAGGUGCCCUACUGCAGGUAGAUGUUUUGUUUCGAGUUUAUGUACAUAGUUGACUUAACUCGCCAGUGCGAGUAGCUCUGUAUUUUGGAUCUGAGCUAUGUAUAUGAAACUCUGUUUUAUUUAGCUUCUGUUUUCUCUAGCAGCUCUCUACUACUGUUUGUAGUAGUGUUUGAUUUACAGGUACAGUUAUCGCUUCGUAUACAGGAAAAAUUUUUUUUGUAUACGGCGGAUUUGUCGGCGUGCCCGGGGAACGUGUAAUCCGGGGCGUGAC